GGGUUGUGAGGUUAAGCGACUAAGCGUACACGGUGGAUGCCCUGGCAGUCAGAGGCGAUGAAGGACGUGCUAAUCUGCGAUAAGCGUCGGUAAGGUGAUAUGAACCGUUAUAACCGGCGAUUUCCGAAUGGGGAAACCCAGUGUGUUUCGACACACUAUCAUUAACUGAAUCCAUAGGUUAAUGAGGCGAACCGGGGGAACUGAAACAUCUAAGUACCCCGAGGAAAAGAAAUCAACCGAGAUUCCCCCAGUAGCGGCGAGCGAACGGGGAGCAGCCCAGAGCCUGAAUCAGUGUGUGUGUUAGUGGAAGCGUCUGGAAAGGCGCGCGAUACAGGGUGACAGCCCCGUACACAAAAAUGCACAUACUGUGAGCUCGAUGAGUAGGGCGGGACACGUGGUAUCCUGUCUGAAUAUGGGGGGACCAUCCUCCAAGGCUAAAUACUCCUGACUGACCGAUAGUGAACCAGUACCGUGAGGGAAAGGCGAAAAGAACCCCGGCGAGGGGAGUGAAAAAGAACCUGAAACCGUGUACGUACAAGCAGUGGGAGCACGCUUAGGCGUGUGACUGCGUACCUUUUGUAUAAUGGGUCAGCGACUUAUAUUCUGUAGCAAGGUUAACCGAAUAGGGGAGCCGAAGGGAAACCGAGUCUUAACUGGGCGUUAAGUUGCAGGGUAUAGACCCGAAACCCGGUGAUCUAGCCAUGGGCAGGUUGAAGGUUGGGUAACACUAACUGGAGGACCGAACCGACUAAUGUUGAAAAAUUAGCGGAUGACUUGUGGCUGGGGGUGAAAGGCCAAUCAAACCGGGAGAUAGCUGGUUCUCCCCGAAAGCUAUUUAGGUAGCGCCUCGUGAAUUCAUCUCCGGGGGUAGAGCACUGUUUCGGCAAGGGGGUCAUCCCGACUUACCAACCCGAUGCAAACUGCGAAUACCGGAGAAUGUUAUCACGGGAGACACACGGCGGGUGCUAACGUCCGUCGUGAAGAGGGAAACAACCCAGACCGCCAGCUAAGGUCCCAAAGUCAUGGUUAAGUGGGAAACGAUGUGGGAAGGCCCAGACAGCCAGGAUGUUGGCUUAGAAGCAGCCAUCAUUUAAAGAAAGCGUAAUAGCUCACUGGUCGAGUCGGCCUGCGCGGAAGAUGUAACGGGGCUAAACCAUGCACCGAAGCUGCGGCAGCGACGCUUAUGCGUUGUUGGGUAGGGGAGCGUUCUGUAAGCCUGCGAAGGUGUGCUGUGAGGCAUGCUGGAGGUAUCAGAAGUGCGAAUGCUGACAUAAGUAACGAUAAAGCGGGUGAAAAGCCCGCUCGCCGGAAGACCAAGGGUUCCUGUCCAACGUUAAUCGGGGCAGGGUGAGUCGACCCCUAAGGCGAGGCCGAAAGGCGUAGUCGAUGGGAAACAGGUUAAUAUUCCUGUACUUGGUGUUACUGCGAAGGGGGGACGGAGAAGGCUAUGUUGGCCGGGCGACGGUUGUCCCGGUUUAAGCGUGUAGGCUGGUUUUCCAGGCAAAUCCGGAAAAUCAAGGCUGAGGCGUGAUGACGAGGCACUACGGUGCUGAAGCAACAAAUGCCCUGCUUCCAGGAAAAGCCUCUAAGCAUCAGGUAACAUCAAAUCGUACCCCAAACCGACACAGGUGGUCAGGUAGAGAAUACCAAGGCGCUUGAGAGAACUCGGGUGAAGGAACUAGGCAAAAUGGUGCCGUAACUUCGGGAGAAGGCACGCUGAUAUGUAGGUGAAGGAUCCCUCGCGGAUGGAGCUGAAAUCAGUCGAAGAUACCAGCUGGCUGCAACUGUUUAUUAAAAACACAGCACUGUGCAAACACGAAAGUGGACGUAUACGGUGUGACGCCUGCCCGGUGCCGGAAGGUUAAUUGAUGGGGUUAGCCGCAAGGCGAAGCUCUUGAUCGAAGCCCCGGUAAACGGCGGCCGUAACUAUAACGGUCCUAAGGUAGCGAAAUUCCUUGUCGGGUAAGUUCCGACCUGCACGAAUGGCGUAAUGAUGGCCAGGCUGUCUCCACCCGAGACUCAGUGAAAUUGAACUCGCUGUGAAGAUGCAGUGUACCCGCGGCAAGACGGAAAGACCCCGUGAACCUUUACUAUAGCUUGACACUGAACAUUGAGCCUUGAUGUGUAGGAUAGGUGGGAGGCUUUGAAGUGUGGACGCCAGUCUGCAUGGAGCCGACCUUGAAAUACCACCCUUUAAUGUUUGAUGUUCUAACGUUGACCCGUAAUCCGGGUUGCGGACAGUGUCUGGUGGGUAGUUUGACUGGGGCGGUCUCCUCCUAAAGAGUAACGGAGGAGCACGAAGGUUGGCUAAUCCUGGUCGGACAUCAGGAGGUUAGUGCAAUGGCAUAAGCCAGCUUGACUGCGAGCGUGACGGCGCGAGCAGGUGCGAAAGCAGGUCAUAGUGAUCCGGUGGUUCUGAAUGGAAGGGCCAUCGCUCAACGGAUAAAAGGUACUCCGGGGAUAACAGGCUGAUACCGCCCAAGAGUUCAUAUCGACGGCGGUGUUUGGCACCUCGAUGUCGGCUCAUCACAUCCUGGGGCUGAAGUAGGUCCCAAGGGUAUGGCUGUUCGCCAUUUAAAGUGGUACGCGAGCUGGGUUUAGAACGUCGUGAGACAGUUCGGUCCCUAUCUGCCGUGGGCGCUGGAGAACUGAGGGGGGCUGCUCCUAGUACGAGAGGACCGGAGUGGACGCAUCACUGGUGUUCGGGUUGUCAUGCCAAUGGCACUGCCCGGUAGCUAAAUGCGGAAGAGAUAAGUGCUGAAAGCAUCUAAGCACGAAACUUGCCCCGAGAUGAGUUCUCCCUGACCCUUUAAGGGUCCUGAAGGAACGUUGAAGACGACGACGUUGAUAGGCCGGGUGUGUAAGCGCAGCGAUGCGUUGAGCUAACCGGUACUAAUGAACCGUGAGGCUUAACCUUACAACGCCGAAG
rnacentral:rRNA from 1 species